rnacentral:misc_RNA from 1 species
GAUGAAGAACGCAGCGAAAUGCGAUAAGUAAUGUGAAUUGCAGAAUUCAGUGAAUCAUCGAAUCUUUGAACGCACCUUGCGCCCUUUGGCUAUUCUGAAGGGCAUGCCUGUUUGAGUAUCAUGAACACCUCAACUCUCAUGGUUCGCCAUGAUGAGCUUGGACUUUGGGGGUCUUGCUGGCCUACGGUCGGCUCCUCUCAAAUGAAUCAGCUUGCCAGUGUUUGGUAGAGUCGCAGGUGUGAUAACUAUCUACGCUUGUGGUUUUCUGCCAGAUAACCUUCGGUGAUGGAGGUUCGCUGGAGCUUAUAAAUGUCUCUCCCCAGUGAGGACAGCUUUUUGAACGUUUGAUCUCAAAUCAGGUAGGACUACCCGCUGAACUUAAGCAUAUCAAUAAGCGGAGGA